AUGCAGAGGUUUUCCGCUGCGAGACGCGUCGUAGCUCUUCUCCAGAAUCGGAGCCGGCAAAGGGCUUCGUUCUCCACCUCGCUCCUCUUCGAUGAUACCCAGAAACAGUUUAAGGAGAGCGUCUAUCAAUUUGCACAAGAAACCAUUGCCCCACAUGCCGCAACCAUUGAUGCAACGAACUGCUUUCCGAAGGAUGUUAACUUGUGGAAACUCAUGGGAGAUUUCAAUCUCCAUGGCAUCACUGCACCAGAGGAAUAUGGAGGACUUGGUAUUGGUUACUUAUACCACUGUAUAGCAAUGGAGGAAAUAAGUCGUGCUUCUGGAUCUGUUGGCCUUUCUUAUGGUGCUCAUUCAAACCUUUGCAUUAAUCAAUUGGUGCGACAUGGGAGCUCUGCACAAAAGCAGAAGUAUUUGCCAAAGCUAAUCAGUGGGGAGCAUGUAGGGGCAUUGGCUAUGAGUGAAUCCAAUGCUGGUUCCGAUGUUGUCAGUAUGAAAUGCAAAGCUGAUCGAGUUGAUGGUGGUUAUGUCAUAAACGGGAAUAAGAUGUGGUGUACAAAUGGGCCGGUUGCUCAAACUUUGGUAGUGUAUGCAAAAACAGAUGUCCAUGCUGGAUCAAAAGGAAUUACUGCAUUUAUAAUUGAGAAAGGGAUGCCGGGUUUCAGUAUUGCGCAGAAAUUGGACAAACUUGGCAUGAGAGGAAGUGAUACAUGUGAGCUUGUAUUUGACAAUUGCUUUAUUCCUGAAGAAAAUAUACUUGGUCAAGUGGGAAAAGGAGUCUAUGUCAUGAUGUCUGGGCUAGAUUUGGAAAGGCUUGUUUUAGCUGCUGGUCCCCUUGGUCUUAUGCAGGCAUGCCUUGAUGCAGCUAUUCCUUAUGUUCGCCAGCGGGAACAGUUUGGCCAUCCGAUUGGGGAAUUUCAAUUUAUACAGGGAAAGUUGGCUGACAUGUAUACAUCUGUGCAGUCAUCGAGAGCAUUUGUGUAUUCUGUUGCUAGGGACUGUGAUAAUGGAAAAAUUGACCGGAAGGAUUGUGCGGGAGUAAUUCUUCUAGCUGCUGAGAAGGCCACCCAAGUUGCUCUUCAGGCAAUUCAAUGUCUUGGUGGCAAUGGGUACGUGAAUGAGUACCCAACAGGUCGUCUUCUGAGAGAUGCAAAACUAUUUGAGAUUGGUGCUGGGACUAGCGAAAUCAGACGAAUGAUCAUUGGUCGUGAACUUUUCAAACAAGGCUAACAAGAAGAUGAUUUCCAUAUGAUUAUUAUGAACGUACUCUGUAGAAUCACUGCUUGGAGCAGCAGGUGACAAGGGAGAUGCAAUGCAGGGUAUUGUUGAUCAAAAUCAGUUGAUCUGUCCACCAGCCUGACUUGUAUCAACACAUUAUCUCUUCUACAUAAUUGGGCGGCCACCCACGUGGCUAACCACGCCGGCAGUAUUGUGUGGAUAAGGGAUGAGGAGCUGCCUCGGGAGCUCUAUGAUAUUUUGGUUUUUGACUUUAUUGAGUAUAUUUGUACAUGUGUUGUAUGAAUUACCUGUCGUAGUGGGAAAAAAAAAAAAAUAACUUGACUUGCAACAAUUUGGCAUGGGACCUGAGUGGCAGUGGCCGGUGCUGGUGGAACAAUAAUCUCCUGCUGGAGCCCAGUAAUUUUUGGUGAGAGAUUGGCUGUGGUGCUUCCCACCUUAGGCUGGGAUGGAUGUUCAUUGUCCGGGAUGUCUGUUGAAUUGCAGGCUGAAACUCUUAUGCUUUGUUCGAUUGGUUGCUGGGCGACUAAUCCAAAUUCAGUGUAUAUGGUAUUACAGAAAGUAUCGUGCCUGUCGUUAGCAGAAGACAACAACAGGCAUCCAAACAGAGGAUUUCAGAUUGGACCAAAAAGCUGUUAGUGGAUAAAUUAUGGGAAUGAUGCCCUUGGCUCUCUCACAAAUUUGAUAAUUGGAGCUGAAGCAUUCUUCACUCGGAGCAUCUCUAAAUGUAUUUUACUGAUCAAAUAAAAGCUAGCAACUGGUUUCAUGGAGUAGCCUCGGACAUGGAGUAGCCUUGGAUAUUCUCAAUUCAACUAAAUGUGUUUUU